CUCGGUACAGAGUUCUGCUAGGUGUCACGUGGGCCUCCGGGCAGAGGUGGAGUGGUCUUCACUGAGCUGUUUCACUGGGGGUGCAGGGAUUCGUUAUGGAUCCGACAGGAAGACAAGACUGGAUAAGAGCGAACAGCUUCCUAAAGAGACUCAGACAUUUUAUAGCACUGG
rnacentral:lncRNA from 1 species